GCCAAGUCGUGAGGCGGAGCUAAUCUCUUAAAGCCAUUCUCAGUUCGGAUUGUGGGCUGAAACUCGCCUACAUGAAGCUGGAGUUACUAGUAAUCGCAGAUCAGAAUGCUGCGGUGAAUGCGUUCCCGGGUCUUGUACACACCGCCCGUCACACCACGGAAGUUGGGGGCGCCCGAAGCCACUUAGCUAACCCUUUUGGGAAGCGAGUGUCGAAGGUGAAAUCAAUAACUGGGGUGAAGUCGUAACAAGGUAAC
rnacentral:rRNA from 1 species